UGGGUCGGUGUUUUGUUGCAUCAGAGACAAACUGAAUCGUUUCUCAGUCCACUCUCCAAUUAUAACGGAGCAUCUAUACAUUUUCGAAGUUGAAGUAGAGGAGGUGACUUCCACCGAGCUUGUUUUGGAUUUCGAGAUCUUCGAUUACGAUUCCAAGACUAGGGAGAUAAUAGAAUGCGGGAUAAUCCACAUCUUGGAACAUCAUGUUGAUGGCGACGAAAAGAUGGCGAUGAAGAUGGAGACAAUGUAGAUCUGAGACAAACAUUGAAACUCAAGUGAAACAGAGAAGCCACAAGACAAAAUUGCAAGGACGAAUGGGUUUAGAGCUGGAGCUUAAGAAACUCUUGAAGGUGAAGUUGAAGACGUCCAUGAAGAUCUAUUUAAGAAACAGGUAGCGAAUAUGGGCGGUUACGGACAAAUGAAUUCGAAAUUUGGUGAUAGAAUUGGAAAUGUGGAUGCCAUUGAUUUUCCAAUGCAAAGCAGAAGAAUCUCAGGAGGUCUUUUCUCUUUUUUCUUGACAAGAAGUUUCAACAGCCAUUUCCACUUCCAAUUCUUAUCGAUAAUAUUCAAUUUCAACUGAAAACGAAGAACUCGUGGCUAAUUAUAUGCUGACAAAGUAUGUUAUCUUUCAUGUUAGGUGAUGUGUAAAAUUUUGUUCACUCAUUUAACUUGUAAUUAGUCUCCUAUUACAUAUAAUUUAUAAUAGACUCUAGUUAUAGGAAUCCGAACUAAAUUUCUCUUGAUAAAAAUAUGAUCGUGGUGUUCCUCGUG